GCAUUUCCUUCUUGAAAAUAACAUGUGAAUGCUUCAUUGAGAAUAAUUCUGACUGGUUACUACGCACUUCGGCCGAGCACAUUAUCGCACACGUCAUGCAAGCCAUCUUAAAUUACCACCUAAACUGUCAUUUGGCAACCU